rnacentral:rRNA from 1 species
AGACGAACCGGGCGAACGUUAUUCGGAAUCACUGGGCUUAAAGCGUGCGUAGGCGGCUUGGCAAGUUGGGUGUGAAAGCCCUCGGCUCAACCGAGGAACUGCGCCCAAAACUGCCAGGCUUGAGGGAGCUAGAGGUGAGUGGAACUAAUGGUGGAGCGGUGAAAUGCUUUGAUAUCAUUAGGAACACCGGUGGCGAAAGCGGCUCACUGGGUCUCUUCUGACGCUGAGGCACGAAAGCUAGGGGAGCGAACGGAAUUAGAAACCCUAGUAGUCC